AUGUUUAAUCACAGUCAGAGAGCCGCUCAUAAACACCUACCAUGGCGGCAGAGGAACCCAAAGAGGACGAGAAGGGUCUGGCUGCAGACCAUGGGCGAGUGGAGCUCCACUCUCAAACCGGAAAUACGUCACCUCCACUUGAAAACAUCAAGAUGGCGUCGCCGGGAGUACUUCAAACUUAAACUCAGCCCAGCAAUCAGAUGCAUCAGAACAACAAAGCACAACUGUGGUGCCCCAGGCACCUUCAGCAACAAAGAUUUAACAACACUGUCAGUCAGGAGCAUAUUUAACAGGAGGCACACUUCAGCUGGCUUGAUGGUGACUUCAGUGCAGUGA
rnacentral:lncRNA from 1 species